GACGAACGCUGGCGGCGUGCCUAAUACAUGCAAGUCGAGCGAACUUGCGGGAGCUUGCUCCCAAAAGUUAGCGGCGGACGGGUGAGUAACACGUGGGCAACCUGCCUAUAAGACUGGGAUAACUUCGGGAAACCGGAGCUAAUACCGGAUAAUUCUUUUCUACACAUGUAGGAAAGCUAAAAGACGGUUUACGCUGUCACUUAUAGAUGGGCCCGCGGCGCAUUAGCUAGUUGGUGAGGUAACGGCUCACCAAGGCCACGAUGCGUAGCCGACCUGAGAGGGUGAUCGGCCACACUGGGACUGAGACACGGCCCAGACUCCUACGGGUGGCAG
rnacentral:rRNA from 1 species